rnacentral:rRNA from 1 species
UAGGGAAUCUUCGGCAAUGGACGAAAGUCUGACCGAGCAACGCCGCGUGAGUGAAGAAGGUUUUCGGAUCGUAAAACUCUGUUGUUAGAGAAGAACAAGGACGUUAGUAACUGAACGUCCCCUGACGGUAUCUAACCAGAAAGCCACGGCUAACUACGUACCAGCAGCCGCGGUAAUACGUAGGUGGCAAGCGUUGUCCGGAUUUAUUGGGCGUAAAGCGAGCGCAGGCGGUUUCUUAAGUCUGAUGUGAAAGCCCCCGGCUCAACCGGGGAGGGUCAUUGGAAACUGGGAGACUUGAGUGCAGAAGAGAAGAGUGGAAUUCCAUGUGUAGCGGUGAAAUGCGUAGAUAUAUGGAGGAACACCAGUGGCGAAGGCGGCUCUCUGGUCUGUAACUGACGCUGAGGCUCGAAAGCGUGGGGAGCAAACAGG